UCAGAUAUCCUGCCACUCACAUCCAGC
rnacentral:piRNA from 1 species